GGAUUUACAUCUAUAUGACGUCUUGUAUGGUAAGUAGAGAUGCCACAUAAAUAAGUUGCUAUAUAAGCACCACAUAUUGCAGAAUAGUAGGGUAAAUUCUUUUUGAAGGUUGGUGUAACAUUAUCAAGGCUAACAUAAUAAUCAAUCUUAGGAAGCUUACUAUAAAAGAAUUCAUUAUUGCUUACAAAAACCUUAAAGUUGGAGAUAGGGUCAAUUUUUGUAAGAGGAGGGUACUUUCCAAUAAUAGGAUCACCUUCAGUAAAACCUAUCUCCUGAACUUCACCACCACUAUCCCACAUUACAGGCCACCCAGACUUCUUACCUACGUCUACCUUCCCUGGUUUCCCAGGUCCUGACCCCUUAGGUUUCCCAGGUUCCUUACCUCCAUAUGCUUUCUCCAGCGGAGGCUGUUUCAUAUCAACCAUAGGUACGAACUGUGCGGGAAUAAUAGUAUUUUUCUUAGUACCUGUGAGAUAAUAUGUAAAUUCCUUAUCCUUCUUAAAACCGUCAUAUCUAAUGUCAUAUGAAGUUAUACCAUCUAAGUCCACAAACCAGGUUACAACUCCUAUACCACCGCUACUUGAUGUCAUAGCCUCGAACUUGAACCUUUUCAUAUCAGCGUUAGGGUAGUUUUUAAUAAACCUGGCCCUCUCAGCAUCCUCUGCCUUCUUGCCGGCAACCGGAUCAACAGGAUCUUCCUCUUCCUUUCCAUAUUUCUUUUCAUAGUCUUGGUAAGACCUAUAAGGUGACUUUCCAACGUCUCCUCCACCUAGUAUCAUUCUUAAUAACCUAACGUAUGUUAU
rnacentral:lncRNA from 1 species